GACGAACGCUGGCGGCGUGCUUAACACAUGCAAGUCGAACGGAAAGGCCCUGCUUUUGUGGGGUGCUCGAGUGGCGAACGGGUGAGUAACACGUGAGUAACCUGCCCUUGACUUUGGGAUAACUUCAGGAAACCGGGGCUAAUACCGGAUAGGAGCUCCUGCUGCAUGGUGGGGGUUGGAAAGUUUCGGCGGUUGGGGAUGGACUCGCGGCUUAUCAGCUUGUUGGUGGGGUAGUGGCUUACCAAGUGUUCGACGGGUAGCCGGCCUGAGAGGGUGACCGGCCACAUUGGUACUGAGGUACGGCCCAGUCUGCUACGGGGGGCAGCAGUGGGAAAUAUUGCACAAUGGGCGGAAGCGUGUUGCGAAAGCGCCGCGUGCGGAAAGACGGCCUUCGGGUUGUAAACCGCUGUCGCCUGUGACGAAGCGUGAGUGACGGUAAUAGGUAAAGAAGCACCGGCUAACUACGUG
rnacentral:rRNA from 1 species